CAUUUACAACGCAAAUGCGCCACCCACCUUGAGAUAUAAGUUCUAACGUCUCAGUAUAGUUACAACGGCUGCCCCACCAUUCAAGCCGAAAAGUAUUACUGCUUCACGGCAGAAAUAGGCAUAUAAUUGACUAAUCAAGGUUGAUAUAUUAUUUUGUGAUUAUAAGUCCUCCAGCAUUUGAAACUAAUGGCGACCUUCACAAGCUAUGCAUAUUUGUAGAUAGGAUUGUAAGGUUUAUGAUUAUUUAUAUUAAUAUGAUUAUAUAGAGUGUAAGGUUUCUGAUUAUUUAUAUGAUUAUAUAGAGUCCUGUACAUAUUAAGAAUUAUUAUUAAAUAUGAGGUUUAUAUUGCAAACCAUUAAAAUAUUGUUAAGUUAUAAAUUCAACAGUUGACAAAUGUCGUCAAUAGAUGUCACAGGCUAACAAAAUUACAUCGCGGUAGCGUUGUGUGUAAAAAUUUGUAUAAGAAGUCCAAAGUAAUUAUGAAUAAAUCAAGAACCAAACGCAUCAAUGUAAAAUUGGCAGAUUAAAGCAAAGUGUGAACAAAGUUAGCCUGUUUAAUUUAUAUGUCUGACACCCAAAAGGUCAGAAGCGGGAUAAAUAAGGCUCUAGAAAACUAACCUUACUACGCCCACGGAUCGGUAAAACUUACGCUCAUCAUCUGUGACGUGGAGGACGACACUAGCCGAGGAGAAGGGUCUGGUGCUCGGCUAGUAAGAGGAAGUGGCUUAAUGAUAAAAGGAGCCCAUGUGCUUAGUCGAGGGGAAGGACUAACACAUAGGGAAUGACCAAGGAGCAUCCGAGGCUGAGGAUGUAGGUCACAUGUGCUUAGUCGAGGGGAAGGGCUAACACAUGGGAGUGACCAAGGAGCAUCCAAGGCUGAGGGUGUAGGUCAACAGGGAAGGAUUGGGAGGAUGAGCUCGCGGAUAGAGCAAGGAGCAUCCGAGGUUAGGAUGUAGGGUCCAUGUGCUUAGUCGAGGGGAAGGACUAACACAUGGGAGUGACCAAGGAGCAUCCGAGGUUAAGGAUGUAGGUCAACAGGAAAGGAUUAGGAGGAUGUGCUCGAGGAUAGAGCAUGGAGCAUCCGAGGUUGAGGAUGUAGGGCGACAGGAAAGAAUUAGAAGGAGGAGCUCGAGCAUAGAGCAAUAUGUAACAUUUGAUAAAAUGGACAAGGACACGAUGAUUCGAAGAGAACGGUUGCGUGGAAAGCGAUCGAGUGAACGACGAUCGCGUAAGCAGCGGUCGAGCAGGCAACAAUCAAGCGGCUCUGAUGACAGGGACGAAUACGAAA